rnacentral:rRNA from 1 species
AAUAAAGUUUUCUUUAUUGGGGUUGCGGACAUAUCAUAACGAAGAGGUAUCGUAAUUGAAGAGGUUUGGAAAGACCCACCACAGAAGGUAAUAGUCCUGUAUGUUAAACGAGAAGACUUUAGAUAUGAUCCAGAGUACCACGGGACACGUGAAACCCUGUGGGAAGCAGGAGGGACCACCCUCCAAGGCUAAAUACUACCUAGUGACCGAUAGCGUAUAGUACCGUGAGGGAAAGGUGAAAAGAACCCCGGGAGGGGAGUGAAAUAGAACCUGAAACCCUGCACUUACAAGCUGUGGAAGCACAUUUCUUGUGUGACCGCGUACUUUUUGUAGAACGGGCCAACGAGUUACGUUAAGUAGCAAGGUUAAGCACUUAAGGUG